UACGUAGGUGGCAAGCGUUGUCCGGAAUUAUUGGGCGUAAAGAGCUCGUAGGCGGCUUGUCGCGUCGACUGUGAAAACCCGCAGCUCAACUGCGGGCCUGCAGUCGAUACGGGCAGGCUAGAGUUCGGUAGGGGAGACUGGAAUUCCUGGUGUAGCGGUGAAAUGCGCAGAUAUCAGGAGGAACACCGGUGGCGAAGGCGGGUCUCUGGGCCGAUACUGACGCUGAGGAGCGAAAGCGUGGGGAGCGAACAGG
rnacentral:rRNA from 1 species